rnacentral:rRNA from 1 species
GGGAGCACAGAGCCGCUUCGUUAUCCGCUGGCCGCUGCUGCUGCUUCUCUGCGAGCGAGUGAGUGAGGAAGGGAACGGCGACGAUGGCCGGCAUGGCGGCGCUGCAGGGCGCCAUGGGGGCGCUCUCCGUCUCGGCCGCGAGCACCAGCGCCUUCUGGGGUAACCCGCUCGCCGCCACCUUCUCCGCCGCGCCGUCUGGGGUCAGAUUCAUGGCCAAGACAAGCCCAAUUGAAAUGAGGCUUAAGCGGUGGGAACGGAAGAAGUGUAAGCCAAACAGUCUUCCUAUGCUGCACAAGAUGCAUGUUAGGGUCGGCGACACAGUGCAGGUCAUCGCAGGCCGUGAGAAAGGUAAAGUUGGAGAAGUUGUACGGCUUUACAAGCACAACAGCACUGUGAUAGUGAAGGAUCUGAACUUGAAGUCAAAGCACAAGAAAGGCACAGAGGAUGAACCGGGUGAAAUUGUCAUGAUUGAAGGCCCCAUUCAUAGCUCGAACAUGAUGCUCUACUCAAAGGAGAAGAACGUGACGAGUAGGGUUGGGCACAAAAUCCUCGAGGAUGGCACCAAGGUCCGCUACCUGAAGAAGACCGGUGAAGUGAUCGACAGCGUUGAUAACUGGGUGAAGGUGUUCAAGGAAGGAGAUUCUGAGUCAUCAUCGUAGUAUGGAAACGCUGCACAUGCUCUCAACCUUGGCUGCGCUUAUUGCUGCCCAAACGCUUACUCGGCUGGUGCUGCUGCUUGUAAGAUCAGUUUUCUUCUAGCUUCAGAGCCUCUUUUGUAAAUUACUACUACUACUACAAAGUUGUCACCAUUUUUGCAAUGCUUGGUCCAGCGAGAAGGCCUUUUUUUUUUUACAUUUCUGUCAUUUUGAUGAAUAGUAAUGAUUGCCCCUUUUACAUGUGGAAAUGCAGCACCAUUGCUCUGUUUUGGCAAGUCUAGCAGAAAUACUACAUGUGUAUAUCCGGCAUAUGAAUGUGAGAAGAAACCUGACACAUGCAUCGGAACUAGAGAUCCGUAACCGGCCAUGCCCUGCAAGUUCUUGAACUGUUUUGCAUGGGCGUUGUACCUAGCAAUUGUCCAUUUGUCCUGUAACAUGGAGUGUGCCAGUUCAUGGGCAGCAGGGUUGAAUUUCUAAUGCAUGCGCAUGUGUUUCAUUA